UACGGGAGGCAGCAGUAGGGAAUAUUGCACAAUGGGGGAAACCCUGAUGCAGCGACGCCGCGUGAGUGAUGAAGUAUUUCGGUACGUAAAGCUCUAUCAGCAGGGAAGAUAAUGACGGUACCUGACUAAGAAGCCCCGGCUAACUACGUGCCAGCAGCCGCGGUAAU
rnacentral:rRNA from 1 species